CUAAAAAUGCGCAUUCUUGAAAGCAGGAAAUGAAAUCCCCAAAAAUUAAAACCUCGCGUAUUCCAUGUGAACCUGCUCCUCUUCCGAUUAGCAAGAAAGAAGCCUAGGGUCUUCAUCUUCCUCUCUCUCUCUCUCUCUCCCUCUAACCUAAAACCUAACCUGUGAUUUCAUAGAGAUUGUUAUUACGAUUUAAGAAGCAAUGAAGAAGCAAGCAUUGAUAGUACUACUAAAUUCCACAAAAUCGCAGGGACUAGGGCUUUUUUUCAAGAUCGGAAACACUUGGUGCUCUCUGGCCUCUACAACAAUCGAUCGACAUCUCGCCUCACCUCGCCGGCAACAGCUUUGCUCACUUCUCCUCCAACGACCUUAGGGCUAUUUUCCUCCGGCAACCUCAGGCUCAUGUGACCUCGUCGGAGACUGCUCAAAUUUCCACACCCUAGGCUGACUAAGAUAUGGUUUCAAUGGCGAUUUCCUUCUCAUUCCACGAUCCUCACUUCUACUCUCUAAGCAUCUCAGGUUUUAUGUUUCUUUUAUCACAGCGAUUGUUAAAGAAAGUAGUGGCCCAAGGGGCAUGAAAAGAAGCCUGCUGCAGGUGUGGAUAUCAAUCUCCAUGAAGAAGUUGACUUAGUUGUUGAACAUGGAAAACCAGUAAAUGACCAUAACACCCUUAAUCUAAAUUUUCCGGACACUGUUGUCCCUGGCAUGCCUGAAUUUGAUCGGAAACUUGGUGCACCUACAAAAAGGUUCAGCCCACCAUCAGUAGGGGAUUGUUCAACCUUUUCUCAUAUACCUUUUAAUUCGGUUAUGGAUGGCUCCAUUGGUGACCUUGCAGAAGAAGGUGUAUAUGUCAAUACUAAGAAGAGAGCUUCCUAAGCUUCUAGCAUUGUCUUCUGGAACUUGUAGUCAUCAAUCCUUGGAGAAUAUUGUAAUACAAUUACGUAAAGCAGGUAGUCAUCCUCACCUCUUUGCUGGUAUAGAGCCAGAACCAUAUGAAGAGGGUGAACACUUGGUUUAGGCAAGUGGCAAACUGGUAGUCUUAGACCAGCUAGUUUAGAAGCUACAUACGUCUGGACACCGUGUUCUUCUGUUUGCACAGAUGACACAUACACUUGAUGUCUUACAGGACUAUAUGGAGUUGCGAAAAUACCCUUAUGAGCGGCUUGAUGGAUCCAUCAGAGUUGAAGAGCGGUUUGCUACAAUACAGAGUUUUAGCCGAAAGUCCGGAAUUGGAAAUUCCAAUUCCGAAGCUGAUUCCGACUCUGCAUUUGUCUUCAUGAUUUCCAGCAGAGCAGGGGGUGUUGGGCUGAAUCUUGUAGCUGCUGAUACUGUGAGCUUUGCAAUACUAACAUCUAUGGAGCAGGGUGUUUAAUUAUGAUCUUUGCAAUACGGAGUUUUCCUAAUUUUCACAAAAUCAAUUAAAAAUAUUUUAAGCCGUUAAUUAAGGACAUCAAAAUAUUAUGUCUAAGUGAUGACCAUACAAGGGGCCUGGGCAAAUUUUUUUGGAACUUGAAGAUAUUAUUACCAAAAAAAACAUAAUGUGAUUAGCCUGCAAUGUAUUGGAAAAAGCGAUUGCAUGUGCAUGGCUUUGAGACAAUUCCUUAUUUGGGUAUCACGUCUCCCACUUAGAUUGCAAAAAUUUCUGGAACUUGGUUGUUGUUGUACCUAUAAGCCGCGAAGGUAUAUGAAUUUUAUUUCCAAUUACUCAAUGAUGACUUGUUGUGUUUCAAAUUAGAUCUCACUGUUAUUACAGUAUCACCCAUUUGAUGAUACAGGUGACAAGGGAACGAGCAUUGAGAAAUUGGGUCUUUGAUGAAACUGCUGGAAACAUUCAUAGGGAUUUUGGAUCUGGCUAUCCUGGAGGUAAUCAGUGUGCGUCCAUUUAUGACAUUCACCAAUAGACUUGGUCAAGAUAUAUAUAUUUGAAGCUAGGCAGCGAAGAUGAACCGAAAUUGUUGCGAGCAUCUGAUGUAUGAGUCUUCUUUGUUUACCGUGAGACUGACCAACCUAGCAAGCUACAGAUCCGUGAUGAAGGCACAAAAUGGUCAUUUCCUGUUCAAAUUGAGAAGGAAGACACCAUAUUUCUUGUUUUGAAGGAGGAAGAUGGCACUCCGAAAAUUUGAAGGACUGGAAUUCGAUGUUAUGAAGAGGGAUCACGUUUCAUUGUUAUACUCCGUCGUGGACCAAGAUAUGGCCCCAUUAGGAUUGAAAACAGAACAGUUGGAGAAGUUGUUAGAAUUUGGCAGUCUGGUUUGAAUAAUUGUGUGCAUAACAGUAAUGAGGUUCUACCAUUCAAGUAGGCUUAGAGCAAUGGUUACAAGAGAUGAGUUCAGAAGAAGAAGAAACAAGGCUGCAACUAUAGUUCAGGUACUAUGGAUGAAUUAUGUUUGUAAAGUAUUUCAAAUAAUGAUUAGAAACAAGGGUGAAUUUGUACACAUUAGUUAGCUACUUGCAGGUUGAUCUUGAAUAAGCAAAGGGGCAAUGGAUUGUAUUUUUUGUAUCUACUUUGUUUGUAAAUUUUUGUUACAACUUCUAUUGAUUUGUUUUAUCUUUCCAUGGAACGAUUAUUUGUAUGACAUUAAAUUUAUGCAAUUGAUUCUAUUUUUUGUAUA